AUGGUGCCCAGGGACAUGGUGAAUGCCCCCGCCGAGAGGCUGCACGUCCAGGGGUCUGUCGUGAACAGGAAGUGCGAGAAGAAGGUGCCAAAGAAAAUCCAUAAGUCGGAGAGGGAGAAACGGAAGCGAGGCACACAGAAUGACCUCUUUAAUGAGUUGGGAGCCAUGCUAGAACCAGACAGGCAGAACAACGGGAAGGCAUGUGUAUUGGGUGACACUACACGGAUACUGAAGGAUUUAGUUUCACAAGUGGAAUCUCUUCGGAAGGAGAAUAGCACACUGAAGAAUGAAUCUCACUAUGUUGUGUUGGAGAGAAAUGAACUGCGUGAUGACAACAGCAUGCUUCGCAAUGAAAUCCUGGAGCUUCAGAACAAGCUUAGAGUGCGUCUGCAAAGCAACCCUAUUUGGAGCCAGGAUACUACAAGAUCAGCCGUUGCAGUACCUUAUCCCACAAGCGGAAUGUUCCCAGUACAACAUUCGCCACACUCACCAGUCAUCACCUCGACGGCACUUUCACUGCAACCUGUAAUCACUGAGCAAUGCUAUGCCGCCCCACCACGAGAGCUGCAGCUCUUCCCGGAAGCUUCAUCUGCAUCCACUGAAGACAGCGAACUGUCACAAGACCAGGGGAUUUCCAAUAAUGUGACACGGCCCCAGGCACGGUACCCAACACCAGCGGUGAUGUCGCCAGUAAACGAAUUCCCAAUCCUUCCAAGGAUGGGGGAGGAGCAACAAUAUAGUAGUGGCACUAGCGAGGAAGACGGUGUGCACAGGGUUUAA
rnacentral:rRNA from 1 species